rnacentral:lncRNA from 1 species
GUCUUGCUUGUUUCUGUACCUUCAGGGCCUCACACGUAGUAGGUACUCAAUAAAUAUCUGAGGUCUAGUGAAACAACGAAUAGACUCCCUUUGCUCAUGACUUUGCUUGCGGUGGUUACUUUAAGGGCAUAAUAGAUUAAUAAUUUCUGCAUGACUACUUGGGCUCCUGAGUUAAUGUUUGCAAAGCUCUUUGAACUUCUUGGGAAAAAGAAUGGUGUUUUUUUUGGCACCCUUUCACAUUUGCAGUGGCACACGAAUUCCUCCUCCUCUCCUUCCUCCGGCUUUGCCUUCCUCGGCUCUGUGCCGGGCCAGGAUCUCCCAGAAGGCAGCCACACUGCUCUCGCUGCCUUUUCCCUGCUACCUCCAGCCCUGCAGCACAGGACAGACCACAUGGAUGGUGUCUGCUUUGCUUUAAAGGGAAAACUCAGGGGGCUGUAA